UGGGGAAUCAUGGUCAAUGGGCGAAAGCCUGAACCUGCGACGCCGCGUGAGUGAUGAAGGUCGUAAGAUCGUAAAACUCUUUUCAGGGAUCUUAAAGCCUGUCUGUCAACAACAGGCAGGUCUGACUCUCCCUGGAAGAAGCCCCAGCCAACUACGUGCCAGCAGCUGCGGUAAUACGUAGGGGGCGAGCGUGAUUCGGAAUUACUGGGUGUAAAGGGUAUGUAGGCGGCCCUUCAAGUCGCGUGUCAAAGUCCAGUGCUCAACGCUGGGUGUGCCCGCGAGACUGACGGGCUUGAGGGCUGGAGAGGGGAGCGGAAUUCCCGGUGUAGUGGUAAAAUACGUAGAGAUCGGGAGGAACACCAGCGGCGCAGGCGGCUCACUAGACAGUUUCUGACGCUAAGAUACGAAAGCGUGGGGAGCAAACA
rnacentral:rRNA from 1 species